rnacentral:sRNA from 1 species
CUCCGGGAGGCAGAUGCUCUGUGACUUGCUCAUCAAGCCCCACCAGCGCAUCACCAAGUACCCACUGCUGCUCCAUGCUGUGCUCAAGAGGAGCCCCGAAGCACGAGCCCAGGAGGCCCUGAAUGCCAUGGUCCGCCAGGGCGAAGAGCAAGAGAGCUUGGCGGCUGCAGCACAACGCAUCGGGCCCUAUGAGGUGCUGGAGCCACCCAGUGAUGAGGUGGAGAAGAACCUGCGUCCAUUCUCCACCCUGGACCUGAUGUCCCCCAUGCUGGGGGUUGCGUCUGAGCAC